GGCCGCAGUAUUUUGACUGUGCAAAGGUAGCAUAAUCAUUAGUCUUUUAAUUGAAGGCUGGUAUGAAUGGUUGGACGAGGUAAAUAACUAUCUUAUAAUAAUUUUAUUUGAAUUUGGGAGUUAAGUAAAAAUACUUAAAUAUUAUUAAGGGACGAGAAGACCCUAUAGAGUUUAAUAUAUUAAAUAUUAAUUGGGUUAAUAAUAUAAUUUUUGAUUAAUAUGUCAUAUAUUUGGUUGGGGUGAUUAAAAGAUAAAAAUAACUCUUUUUUUAUAUUAAUAAUAUAAUUAAAUUAGGRAUCCAUAUUUAGUGAAUGAAAGAUUAAAUUACCUUAGGGAUAACAGCAUAA
rnacentral:rRNA from 1 species